GUGAAUCAUCGAAUUUUUGAACGCAUAUUGCACUCUCUGGUAUUCCGGAGAGUAUGCCUGUUUGAGGGUAAGUAAAAAUAAUCUUUAACCAGUUUGUUUGGUCAAAUGAUAUGAGUUCUCCGCGUUUAUAGCGGUAGCUUGAAAUAAAUGGUCAAGUCUUAUUUUAGUCGAGACGCGUAAUAAUAUUAUUUCGCUAAAUCUUCAUUAUGUGACGAUCAAUUUUUGACGCAUACAAAUUGGGUUUGUUUUCUAUCAAUACAAAUAUUUUUGAACAUUACCUCAAAUCAGGUAGGA
rnacentral:misc_RNA from 1 species